AUCUUCCUCCGGUAGUGAGGUAUCUCAACUGACUGUUCACAGUUAGUUACAGAUCCAACUCCUUGUUCUACUCUUUCCCUCCUCACUACUGCACUUGACUAGUCUUUA
rnacentral:sRNA from 1 species